ACUGUCGAAAUAACAGUCUCUGAUUACUUUUUGAGGUACAAAGGCACAUAGCUCCGGUAUUCUGGUAAUUUCACAUGUAUCCAUGCGGGGAGGUCAAAGCGUCCGACAUAUUUGACUUUGGAGCUUUGCACACUUGUUCCUCUGCAAAGAUACGACAAAGCUUUGUCAACUCUGCAAAUGCCCUCACUCGUCGAGAAAUCUAGAUUUUAGCUUGCUGCAGCAGUAUAUAACUUGUUAGCUUUAGUGUUUUUGGCAAUUAACUGAUGGUUCAUGCUACCCUAAAUGCAUGGCAGUUUAACGUAGAAACUAUGACUCGAACCCAUGCUGAUGGCACAUGGCAUUUCGAUUGCACCAAAGUUUAUUCAAAUUAAAUUGAGGGUCCUGCAAGCACCCAAGCUGAGGGCCUGUAACAGUCAAGAUAUUUUGCCACACAAUAGACGUUGGAAUCUUGUGAACAAGAAUUUCUUUCGGACCUGUUCUGUCAAGAGGUGGUCGGUUCCUUUCUGUGCACACUGUGAUGUUCGGGGUCUUGUCCGAGACCUCCAAAGGCUUACAUUAUUUUUGCCCAGAAAAACCAUCACACCAGAUUCUUUCUGACUGGAUCUCCAGAGAAUGUUCCUCCAGGUACUGUGGUGGAUAAGCAAGUCUGCCAUCGCAAGAAUUUUGACUUCUACAUGUGUGAACAUGCUGGCAUGAUUGAACCUCAGGGCCAACACAUUACCAUGUUCUUCAUGAUGAGAUCGGCUUCACUGCUGAUCCUCUUUAGGAAUUCGUGCAUUCCCUUACACGCUCCAAGUCCAUCUUCAAACCAAACUACUAAUGCUCAGAGAAGGGUUAUAGGCAAGGAGCAACCAUGCCAGGAC